rnacentral:lncRNA from 1 species
UGCUCACUUAAGGUUGGAAAAACAAAUCAUUGCUAAUUUUUUAAGUUAUCUAAUCCAACCCAUUAAGUUAUCUAAGCCAACCCAAGAUUAAGAAAAGUAGGUUCACAGAAGUUAUAUUACUUGCCCAAUGCCAUCAAGCUCUUUGGUGGCAGAACAUAAAUUAGAAAUUAGAUUGGACACACAUAAUUAUCACUAAUAUUUUAGAAAAGAUUUUGUUUCCAAAUAGCUUAUUUGUAGCUAUUUCAUGAUAAUUUUAAAUUAUUUUCAAUUUAACAAAUCUUGAGUGCUACUAAUUGCUCAGAACUAAAGUGGGACUCCAAGAAAUCCUAAGAAAUGGUUUCCCUGCACAUAAUGCUCUUAACAGAGAAGAGAUAUGCACAAGUGAAAUAAUUAUAGAGGACUUUGAGGUAAAAUAUGGUGGCAGAUGGAACUAGAAGGUGGUAGGUUGAUGUAGGGACUAGUUGCAGAGAAAGAUAGGAUGCUAGAGCAAUCAAGUUGAGUUAAAGCAGUUGCUAGAGAAACCUCUGGGAAAUACUUGGAGCAUUAAUGGAUUCAUCUAACCACCAGCCUUUUUUUUCAUCCACCCUGUGCUAUGGAGAAGAGCUGAAGGAAAAUGCCCAACAGGAGAAAUGAGGCUUUGACCAAGGGGAUGCCUCUGUUCCAGUCUCCACCUCCUGCACGUGACAUUGUUCUCAUUCAUCCAGCAUAAUAGCCUAAAGGACCGGAUGACAUCAUCAAGAUGGUGACAUAGAUUGUUCCUGGUUCCUAACUUCAAUCUUCCUAAUAUGAAGACCAACUAGCCACUAUGCAGACAGGACACCAUUAUGAAACUGCAGAGUCCAGGGAGGAGGCUGUAGGCCUCCCCUGGACAACAGAGACUGAGCAGGACUGCAUUUGAAAGGUAA